GCGUUUGUGGUUUAGUGGUAAAAUCCAUCGUUGCCAUCUAUCUCUCUUCUUCACAAGAGAGUGCGAAACAACCUCGAUGGGCCCCGGGUUCGAUUCCCGGCGAACGCA
rnacentral:tRNA from 1 species